UACGGAGGGUGCGAGCGUUGUCCGGAAUCACUGGGCGUAAAGGGCGCGUAGGUGGCGCGGGAAGUCAACGGUGAAAGCUCAGGGCUCAACCCUGAGUCGGCCGUCGAUACUCCCGGGCUCGAGCACUGUAGAGGCAGGUGGAAUUCCGGGUGUAGCGGUGGAAUGCGUAGAGAUCCGGAAGAACACCGGUGGCGAAGGCGGCCUGCUGGGCAGUAGCUGACGCUGAUGCGCGACAGCGUGGGGAGCAAACAGG
rnacentral:rRNA from 1 species